UACAGAGGGUGCAAGCGUUAAUCGGAAUUACUGGGCGUAAAGCGUGCGUAGACGGUUAUGUAAGUCAGAUGUGAAAGCCCCGGGCUUAACCUGGGAAUGGCAUUUGAGACUGCAUAGCUAGGGUGCGGAAGAGGGAAGCGGAAUUUCCGGUGUAGCGGUGAAAUGCGUAGAUAUCGGAAGGAACACCAGUGGCGAAAAGCGGCUUCCUGGUCCAGCACCGACGUCAGGCACGAAAGCGUGGGGAGCAAACAGG
rnacentral:rRNA from 1 species